GUGCGGGUGCUAUACAUGCAAGUCGAGCGGACAGAAGGGAGCUUGCUCCCGGAUGUUAGCGGCGGACGGGUGAGUAACACGUGGGUAACCUGCCUGUAAGACUGGGAUAACUCCGGGAAACCGGAGCUAAUACCGGAUAGUUCCUUGAACCGCAUGGUUCAAGGAUGAAAGACGGUUUCGGCUGUCACUUACAGAUGGACCCGCGGCGCAUUAGCUAGUUGGUGAGGUAACGGCUCACCAAGGCGACGAUGCGUAGCCGACCUGAGAGGGUGAUCGGCCACACUGGGACUGAGACACGGCCCAGACUCCUACGGGAGGCAGCAGUAGGGAAUCUUCCGCAAUGGACGAAAGUCUGACGGAGCAACGCCGCGUGAGUGAUGAAGGUUUUCGGAUCGUAAAGCUCUGUUGUUAGGGAAGAACAAGUGCAAGAGUAACUGCUUGCACCUUGACGGUACCUAACCAGAAAGCCACGGCUAACUACGUGCCAGCAGCCGCGGUAAUACGUAGGUGGCAAGCGUUGUCCGGAAUUAUUGGGCGUAAAGGGCUCGCAGGCGGUUUCUUAAGUCUGAUGUGAAAGCCCCCGGCUCAACCGGGGAGGGUCAUUGGAAACUGGGAAACUUGAGUGCAGAAGAGGAGAGUGGAAUUCCACGUGUAGCGGUGAAAUGCGUAGAGAUGUGGAGGAACACCAGUGGCGAAGGCGACUCUCUGGUCUGUAACUGACGCUGAGGAGCGAAAGCGUGGGGAGCGAACAGGAUUAGAUACCCUGGUAGUCCACGCCGUAAACGAUGAGUGCUAAGUGUUAGGGGGUUUCCGCCCCUUAGUGCUGCAGCUAACGCAUUAAGCACUCCGCCUGGGGAGUACGGUCGCAAGACUGAAACUCAAAGGAAUUGACGGGGGCCCGCACAAGCGGUGGAGCAUGUGGUUUAAUUCGAAGCAACGCGAAGAACCUUACCAGGUCUUGACAUCCUCUGACAACCCUAGAGAUAGGGCUUUUCCUUCGGGGACAGAGUGACAGGUGGUGCAUGGUUGUCGUCAGCUCGUGUCGUGAGAUGUUUGGGUUAAGUCCCGCAACGAGCGCAACCCUUGAUCUUAGUUGCCAGCAUUCAGUUGGGCACUCUAAGGUGACUGCCGGUGACAACC
rnacentral:rRNA from 2 species